AACAAGCAAAAAAAAAAAAGAUUACGCUUCAAGCAAAAAUAUUUUAUUAUAAAAUUAGUUUGUUCUAAAGAGAAAGCAUGAAUAAUUUCCGCUCGUGGUUGGAUAUGGAAAGAUAUGCGGGAGGCUUUCCGAAUGGGAUGCUUACGAGGGAGUAUGCAGCAGGACUCACUGAAUUCAUGAACGUCGCUUUGAAUCAAGAAAGCUGCUUAAGAAGUGCCACAAACACGGCUGGAUUAUGAACGUUACAUGGCAGAACAGCAACACAAUUAUGAUAGCAGUACACCUAGCUACUCAUUCAAUGAUCAUUCAAGGUUUCAGCAGCCACACAAUCAACCGAUGCCUAGUACAAGUGUUGCUCUCGGUUCCUAUUCACAAGUAGGUGAGAGUGAUGAUGAUGGCGUUGUCCCUAUAUUAGCCGAUGUGAAUGAUUUGUUGAUCGCCCCAGGAUGCACACACCUCCCAGUUCUAUGUCCAGACCGUGAAGGAACAUAUAUAUGGUUUAGACAUGACAAAACUGGGAAGAUAACAAAGCAACUGUUAAAAGUGCUGAAAUCUGAUCUCCCAAAACCAUAUCCAACUUAUCGGUCUCUCCCACUAGAAAUCAAGAACCGAUGGCUCAGAGCAUUUGCGCAAGAGUUUAACUGGAACUCAAGCAUAACCGAGUAUGUUCGCACACAUUACAAUAAGCAAGCAAACGCUUCUUUUAGAGCCAAUAUGCGUGACUGAAAGAGAAAAUGGAAGCAAGCAGGUCCAGAGAACUUACCACAAUUGAUGAAGGCAAAGAAAUGUUUGUUUGAUGGUUAUAUAAAGAUAUGGACAAAUGAAAAAACCAUCAAGUUGGCAACCCAAUAUUCUAAGAACCGUGGAAGUAAAAGAGGAGGUUUAGGUGUUGCUAAACACAACAACGGUGCAAAAACAUAUGAAAGACGUUGAGAUGAGAUGACAAUUGAGCUGGGAGAGGCACCCAAUAUGAUUCAUUUCAUGGAACAAAUUCACUUAGACAAGAAAACGAACACAAUUAGUGAUAUGAAGACAAAGCAGAUUCUUGAGAAGGCUACAAGAGAGAUGGAGAUCGUCCAAUCUCAAUGCCAGUCUCAAACUGAAGGUGAUGACUCGGCUCAGCCAAUCUCUCUAACUCAAGAGGAGAUAAAUGCUAUCAUGCGUAAAGUUGUUCCCAAGGUAAGAGGAAAACUCUAUUGCUUUGGUAACCUUUUCAAUGAGGACUCAUGUAUGGUUCAACCACGCCAGAUUCCUAAGUUACAAGAGGAGAUUCAAACUUUGAAGGCACGUGAACUCCAAAAAGAUGCUCAGAUCAAGUACCUCAUGGAAUGCAACAAGCUCCUCUUACAAAAGUUUCCUGACCUACGGCCACCUAACCACCCAGUGAUCAUGGAGGAAGAUGAUGAAACCCAGCCAUAACUUUUUCUGUAAUGAUUUUGUAAAAUAACAUGAUAAUUUUUGUAAAACGAUUUGCGAAUUUAUCUAUGUAUGAAGUGUACAAGACUGGGUAAUUUCAUCGUCAAAUGUUA